UAGGAAGUGGUGUAGUGGAGGCACUGAGAGCUUUGAUCUCUUCAGGUUGGGUUCGAACCCCUUCUUUCUA
rnacentral:tRNA from 1 species